rnacentral:rRNA from 1 species
GACAAACGCUGGCGGGGUGCGUGAGACAUGCAAGUCGAACGAGGAGCCUCCGAGCUUGCUUGGAGGUUUCCUAGUGGCGGACGGCUGAGUAACGCGUAGGUGACCUGCCCGGAAGUGGGGAAUAACUGCCCGAAAGGGUGGCUAAUACCGCAUGUGGUCGGCGAUUCGAUUCGCCGUCCAAAGGAGCAAUCCGCUUCCGGAGGGGCCUGCGUCCGAUUAGCUAGUUGGUGGGGUAACGGCUCACCAAGGCGACGAUCGGUAGCUGGUCUGAGAGGAUGAUCAGCCAGACUGGGACUGAGAACGGCCCAGACUCCUACGGGAGGCAGCAGUCGGGAAUUUUGCCCAAUGAGCGAAAGCUUGAGGCAGCAACUCCGCGUGAGGGAUGAAGGCUCUCGGGUCGUAAACCUCUUUUCUCAGGGAAGAUCCAAGACGGUACCUGAGGAAUAAGCCACGGCUAACUACGUGCCAGCCGCCGCCGUAAGAC